rnacentral:piRNA from 1 species
UGUAGGCCUGACUCCCCAAACUGGAGA